rnacentral:misc_RNA from 1 species
AAAAAAAAAAAAAAAAAAAGAUACAGAGCACGUGAUGCAAGCGCAAAGAAUUAUGUCAAUUAGACCUCAUUAAAGUCCACACUUUGGGUAUUCGAAAAGCCAAAACCAUGAAAUAUGUAUGACAAUAGAAUAGAGUCAUGUAUGUAAAAGGAAAUCCAAAGCAAAAUUCCUGGAAAUGUAAUUUGCAAAAGGGCACCAUGAUAAAAGUGACUAUUUAGCUGUCAAGCUCCCCACCAAAAACAACAAAAUUUUGAUAUGUUGAUAUAUUUGAUAUAAAGUAUUUUGACCAAAUAUAGGUGUUUUAAAUACUUUAAUCAACAUAUUCAAGAUGGUGCUUUUAUCAACAGUAACUAUGGCAGAAAAAUUUAACAGACCCUAAAUCAACCUCAUAGUUAGGGGUGGCUACGGUUCAGGAACCGCCUGUUACGGUUACUGGACCAUCGGUUUAGAUUUAAUGAAAUCAUGAACCUGAAC